CGCCGGCACCCUGCCGGGAAAUGGCCCCGAGCACUUUCAACAGCCACACACAGACUCCGGAGGGAGGCCCCGUCCCCGGUGUUCACCUGGCGCCACGGCGUCCCCUCGCACGGUCACCGCUCCGCUGCCGCCCGCCCGGAGCGCAGGCUCCGGCUCCUCGCGAUUCCCUCGCUCCUCCUCGGGGCUUCCGGCAGCGGCGCCGGCCGCGGCCGAGGAGCGUGUGCCCGGCCGGUUGUGAGAUAUUGUCCAGGAAUGUGCUACAUGAUUGCAGCUGCAUACGUCACUCUUCAAGAAACUGCAGUCUCAAAUGACCAAGGAAUGGCAGAGAACCCAGUAUCCAUUUCUGCUUGUUCAUACUCUCCUUUCUAAAAGUAAUAAAGUAGGCAUAGCUGGGUGGUAUUGAAGAACUGAAGGAACCCUACAAAAUGGAACCUUUCUAAGGCCUGUCACAAAGGAGCAUUGAUUGUUUUGUUAUUUGACUUCUAAUUUGUACCAUGCAGUUGGACUCUGUAGAUGGGGGUAUUGCUGCCCCUAUUGCAUGCCAGAACUCUCUUACAUCAAUAAACUUAUAAAACAGUU